UUGGGCUGGUAGUGCAGGCGCAGCUCGUCGUUGUCGAUGGCGGCGCGCAGCUGCCCGAUCAUCGCGAGCCGGUCCGGGC
rnacentral:tRNA from 1 species